GUGCCAGCAGCCGCGGUAAUACGUAGGUGGCAAGCGUUAUCCGGAAUUAUUGGGCGUAAAGCGCGCGUAGGCGGUUUUUUAAGUCUGAUGUGAAAGCCCACGGCUCAACCGUGGAGGGUCAUUGGAAACUGGAAAACUUGAGUGCAGAAGAGGAAAGUGGAAUUCCAUGUGUAGCGGUGAAAUGCGCAGAGAUAUGGAGGAACACCAGUGGCGAAGGCGACUUUCUGGUCUGUAAC
rnacentral:rRNA from 1 species